GUUUAUUCCUUGGGUGAGUGGCUCUGUUCUUGGGAAGUAGCAUACACUCGCAUUCUCCCAGGGCUUAGGUGCAUCCGUACACGUUGUGGGGACAGAAAAGCUAGGCCAGGACUCGGCCUCCUGAAGGGUUGUGGACACGGCUGUGAGGACUGCCCACUUCUCCCAGGCCGAAUAGGGCUCCCCUGGAGCCCUGGAGAGGGGCCACGUGGGGACGUCUGUAGAAGCCUCGAACCAGGCUGCUAUGAAGAGUGAUCCGUCGACAGCUGCAGUCACACUUAGGGGGAUCGGGAGUGCCUAAGCAGCAGCAAAAUGGUGUGCGUCGUCCUGUCGCGGCAGAGGCCGAAGCUCUACUGGAGGAGGCGGCCAAUCACUUAGUGGUACACCUGGACUUCCGGGAGGCGCUGCACACCUGUCAGCAAGCCGGCCAGAGCCUGAGCAACUAGCCCUGGCUGAUGGCCUAUGAGCACAUAUAUGCGGGGUUUGCCUGAGGAGAGAUCAGCAUUUCUAAAACCUGUCAUUCCCAGAAUGUACAUAGGAAGCCUCUAACAGGCUGAAGUGCACAUUCUGCAGAGGAGAAAAAGGAGCCUCUGAACAGAGCUUAGCCAAUCCUUUGCUCCCUGCUCCAAUCUGAUGGGAAGAUAGAAUGUGUGUUGUAUUAAAUUAUUUCAAUAAGCAGUCUCAGUCCUUUCCUAGGUACACUCCCCAUCCCUAAGUUGUUCACAUCUAGUCUUGGCUGAUGAGUUGGAAUAGGGCUCUGGUCCUGCUGAAGAGCUGGAUUAAAGAAUAACCUAGAGAAAGAAAAA